GGGACCAUAGCUCAGAGGUACAGUAUCUUCCUUGCAAGCUGAAGGUCCAAAGUUCAAUCCCUGCUAUCUCCA